CGAUGUCGGCUCAUCGCAUCCUGGGGCUGUAGUCGGUCCCAAGGGUUGGGCUGUUCGCCCAUUAAAGCGGUACGCGAGCUGGGUUCAGAACGUCGUGAGACAGUUCGGUCCCUAUCCGUCGUGGGCGCAGGAAAUUUGAGAGGAUCUGUCCUUAGUACGAGAGGACCGGGAUGGACAUACCUCUGGUGUACCAGUUGUUCUGCCAAGAGCACCGCUGGGUAGCUACGUAUGGAUUAGAUAAUCGCUGAAAGCAUCUAAGUGAGAAACUAACCUCGAGAUGAGAUUUCCCAUUCGUCAGAAGUAAGACCCCUGAGAGACGAUCAGGUAGAUAGGCUAGAAGUGGAAGUGUAGUGAUGCAUGGAGCGGACUAGUACUAAUAGGUCGAGGACUUAACCAAG
rnacentral:rRNA from 1 species